rnacentral:rRNA from 1 species
CUACGCUUACCGGGAUUCUUUACACAUGCAGUCGAACGGCAGCACGGGGGCAACCCUGGUGGCGAGUGGCGAACGGGUGAGUAACACAUCGGAACGCGUCCUGUAAUGGGGGAUAACCUGGCGAAAGCCAGGCUAAUACCGCAAUACGUCCUAGAGGGAGAAAGCGGGGGAUCGCAAGACCUCGCGUUAUAGGAGCGGCCGAUGUCGGAUUAUAUAGUUGGUGGGGUAAAGGCCUACCAAGGCGACGAUCCGUAGCGGGCCUGAGAGGACCAGCCCGCCACACUGGGACUGAGACACGGCCCAGACUCCUACGGGAGGCAGCAGUGGGGAAUUUUGGACAAUGUCGCAAGCCUGAUCCAGCCAUUCCGCGUGAGUGAAGAAGGCCUACGGGUUGUAAAGCUCUUUCGGCCGGGAAGAAAUCGCAUCUCCUAAUCCGGGGUGUGGCUGACGGUACCGGAAGAAGUGCACCGGCUAACUACGUGCCAGCAGCCGCGGUAAUACGGGGGGUGCGAGCAAUCGGAAUACUGGGCGUAAAGGGUGCGCAGGCGGCGCCAUAAGACAGAUGUGAAAUCCCCGGGCUCAACCUGGGAACUGCGUUUGUGACUUAGGUGCUUGAGUGCGGCAGAGGGGGGUGGAAUUCAACGUGUAGCAGUGAAAUGCGUAUGAAUGUGGAGGAACACCGAUGGCGAAGGCAGCCCCCUGGGUCGACACUGACGCUCAUGCACGAAAGCGUGGGUCCGCAAACAGGAUUAGAUACCCUGGUAGUCCACGCCCUAAACGAUGCGAACUAGGUGUUGGGUAAAGGAGACUUCUUCGUACCGUAGCUAUAGCGUGAAGUUCGCCGCCUGGGGAGUACGGUCGCAAGAUUAAAACUCAAAGGAAUUGACGGGGACCCGCACAAGCGGUGGAUGAUGUGGAUUAAUUCGAUGCAACGCGAAAAACCUUACCGACCCUUGAUUGUCCGGAAACUGCUGAGAGGUGGGGUGCCCGAAAGGGAAUCGGGACACAGGUGCUGCAGCUGUCGUCCCCUCGUGUCGUGAGAUGUUGGGUUAAGUCCCGCAACGUGCGCAACCCUUGUCAUUAAUUGCCAUCAUUUGGUUGGGCACUUUAGUGAGACUGCCGGUGCAAACCGGAGGAAGGUGGGGAUGAUCGUCAAGUCCUCAUGGCCCUUAUGGGUAGGGCUUCACACGUCAUACAAUGGUCGGUACAGAGGGUUGCCCCACCCGACGAGGGGGAGCCAAUCCCAGAAAGCCGAUCUUAGUCCGGAUUUGAGUCUGCAACUCGACUCCGUGAAGUCGGAAUCGCUAGUAAUCGCGGAUCAGCAUGUCGCGGUGAUCGUUGCCCGGGUCUUGUACACACCGCCCGUCACAGCCAUGGGAGCGGGUUCUACACAAGCAGUUCCCUAACCGCAAGGGGGUAGAUCA